AGGAAAAUAAAAGAAUAGAGCUAAAU
rnacentral:sRNA from 1 species